rnacentral:rRNA from 1 species
GGAUGUGGGGUUGCUUAGACAACCAGGAUGUUGGCUUAGAAGCAGCCACCAUUGAAAGAGUGCGUAAUAGCUCACUGGUCGAGUGACCCCGCGCCGAAAAUGUACCGGGGCUAAACAUAUUACCGAAACUGUGGAUGAACCUCUUCGGAGGUUCGUGGUAGGAGAGCGUUCUAAGGGCGGUGAAGUCAGACCGGAAGGACUGGUGGAGCGCUUAGAAGUGAGAAUGCCGGUAUGAGUAGCGAAAGAAGGGUGAGAAUCCCUUCCACCGAAUAUCUAAGGUUUCCUGAGGAAGGCUCGUCCGCUCAGGGUUAGUCGGGACCUAAGCCGAGGCCGAUAGGCGUAGGCGAUGGACAACAGGUAGAGAUUCCUGUACCAGUGCUAAUUGUUUAACCGAUGGGGUGACACAGAAGGAUAGGGAAUCGCACGAAUGGAAAUGUGCGUCCAAGCAGUGAGUGUGAGAAGUAGGCAAAUCCGCUUCUCGCGAAGCAUGAGCUGUGAUGGGGAAGGAAAUUAAGUACGGAAGUUCCUGAUUUCACGCUGUCAAGAAAAGCCUCUAGGAAGAGUAGUACUGCCCGUACCGCAAACCGACACAGGUAGAUGAGGAGAGAAUCCUAAGGUGAGCGAGAGAACUCUCGUUAAGGAACUCGGCAAAAUGACCCCGUAACUUCGGGAGAAGGGGUGCUCUAUUAGGGUGCAAGCCCGAGAGAGCCGCAGUGAAUAGGCCCAGGCGACUGUUUAGCAAAAACACAGGUCUCUGCAAAACCGUAAGGUGACGUAUAGGGGCUGACGCCUGCCCGGUGCUGGAAGGUUAAGAGGAGU